CGCUGACUCUCACAUUCACUCACCCACGCGGAAGGGGCCGGGCGCGAAGCACUUCGGGAAGGACCAGGUGUGUUUUAUGAAUCGCUGAAUGGAGGUGUGAAAAGAGCAACGUGAGAAUGAGGCUAAAGGAAGAAAAGACAGCUGGGCCAGGUGGCCUUAGGACACUAGGAAUUCACAGGUGUGUAUAUCCAAGAGCAGCUGUUAGAGACAUCAAGGGCAGAAAAGAACAAGACCAAGAAAGACCAAGCAGUAAAGGAGCCUUAAGAUUCAACUCAGAGUCUAGAGGGGGAAGCAGACAUUUUCAGCAGCCAUCCAGGAAGUGAGAAAGGUAUUUUAAGAACAAGUUGAUGAAAGUCAAAUAAUACAUGGAUUGCUUAAGCCAAUCCUUCAGACAGAAUAAAAAUUUCAAAUUAAAGAGAAAAAACUGGAUUUUCUGGAUUCUACCAGGACUAAGUGCCCCAAAGUCAGCUGAAAGGUAUGUUCUUGCUAUUAAA